AAUAGAUACCCGGGUAGUCCACGCCGUAAACGGUGGGCACUAGGUGUGGGCGACAUUCCACGUCGUCCGUGCCGCAACUAACGCAUUAAGUGCCCCCGCCUGGGGAGUACGGCCGCAAGGCUAAAACUCAAAGGAAUUGACGGGGGGCCCGCACAAGCGGCGGAGCAUGUGGCUUAAUUCGACGCAACGCGAAGAACCUUACCAAGGCUUGACAUACACCGGGAAAACGUCCAGAGAUGGGGCGCCCCCCUUGUGGUCGGUGUACAGGUGGUGCAUGGCUGUCGUCAGCUCGUGUCGUGAGAUGUUGGGUUAAGUCCCGCAACGAGCGCAACCCUUGUCCCGUGUUGCCAGCAGGCCCUUGUGGUGCUGGGGGACUCACGGGGAGACCGCCGGGGUCAACUCGGGAGGAAGGUGGGGACGGCGUCAAGUCAUCAUGCCCCUUAUGUCUUGGGCUGCACACGUGCUACAAUGGCCGGUACAAUGAGCUGCGAUACCGCGAGGUGGAGCGAAUCUCAAAAAGCCGGUCUCAGUUCGGAUUGGGGUCUGCAACUCCG
rnacentral:rRNA from 1 species